UCAACAGAAAAUUAUCAUUUUUUAAUUGCAUGGCGUGAAACAGGAAUUAUUUUCAAAUAUAGGACAUAGCCUACUAGAACAUCUUUCAGAAUGUAAAUGGUAGCCUAAUACAACAGCCUACAACCUAUGCUAGAACUUUGCAAAGUUGAAUAGUCUUUAUUUCCGCAACGACAAUAUUACUUAAACAAUGUUUUUGAAAAUGUAUGUUUUUACUAAGCUUGUAUGCACAACCACCGUGAUAUAUAAAACUGGUUUUCCACUUGUCAGAUACAGCAGGUCAACCUCACCAUAGCACAUUUCACUGACUUUGACUUAUUAAAGUGUGAAGUAUGUUUAAAAUGUUGCUUAAAAUACGCUUAUUUGAAAGAAAAUGCCCCUAUUCCAAGACCACGCAGCUGAUUUCUUUAAAAGAUAGACAGGAACAUGGGCAGGAUGUUUAUACAGCAAAAUGUAAACAUUUUCCCUGGCCUUCUUUAAAUAAAAAAUCAAGCAAAAAGCCCCGCUAGAUCAGCUCAUACUCAAUCUGAUGCAUUAUGUCCGUUUUAGACAGCUCCUUGUGUAUGGAUAGGACUUUUCAACGUAAAUGCAGAAAGAGAUUUCAAUCAUGUAUAAUUAUUAUGUUCACACAGGAGAACUGAGGGAAAGAGCUCUGAGCCCAGCCGAACAUUGAGCACUGAAACUCGGCUGAGGACUUUAGAUCGACGCCCACCAAACACUCUCCUCAGAAUGGUGCUCGAGUCAAGCCCUUUGUGAUGGAUGAGAGAGAGAGGGUUUUCCAGUGAUGGCAACAGUUCCUAUGACGACCAGACCUCCACCGGGGGAUUGCGUCUGUCAGACAGUGCUAAUGAUAAUUGAGAGGCUGGAGUGGGCAGGCAUGCAGGUUUGUCCACAGGAAGCCAUGAAUUCCUCGGAGAACAGAGGGUGUCAGGGCCCAGAACACGACUUGGGGGGGGUGGGGGGGAGAGACAUACUGUACCUUGUAACGUCUCAUAAUCCUCCUAGUUGACCCCUGACCCCGGCCUGCGUUUGUAUCAGGUCAUCGACGUGAGGAAUUGUAAUGAGUCACUNNNNNNNNNNACACACACACACACACACACACACACACACACACACACACACACACACACACACACACACACACUCUGCCACAAUGAGAGAGUCGGCAGCUUUUAUUUUGGACAGUCUCUCCUGAAUUCUAAGGGCUGUCAGGCGGUUUGAUUGAUAGUUGUGUUUAUCACCAUAUUAUUAAGUAAUCAGGCUCUCCACAGUUCAUUAUAAUUAAAGACUAGGGAAAAGUGUUUAUUUUUUGAGUCCUGUAAAAAAACAUAGAUUUGUGUUUUUUGAAUGUGUGUGUGUGUGUGUGUGACAGUGUGUUUAUAUUUGUAUUCUUUUCCACAGUGGACCUUAGUGACCCAGAAAAUCUGUGUGUCUGUCCACCACUGAGUUUAUGGCUACACUUGGGUCUCUGUGAGAGAAGAGAAAUGCAACCACGAUGACAUAUUAUAUCCAUACAGUAACAACAGGGAAUACUGCCCCAUAAUGGUAGCUCUUUAUUUCACUUGUCAUUUUAAUCUAUUUUAGUAAUCUUACAAUUUACAACUUUAUUUUCCCCAAGGGAAUGUUUACAACAUAUUAUACAGGAAAACCCCUCCAUAUUCUGUGAGGCAGCAGCCUGGGUCUCCUGUUCUCACCCAGGUUGGCAGCUAUGGCCUGAAGCUCUGCCUGUCCGGCUGGCCUACGUCUGUCUGUAUACCCCAGAGGUAAACACAGUGGUGCCACCGGACAUGCCGAGUGUGUCCUGACUGGAGACAGUGAGAAAGCAGAGAGAGCAUUGUGGCACUAUUCAGGAGGUCCCUGCCAGGUUUCUCUUCUGGAGGCAGGGUUCAUUUGAUGAAUGGCCAUCCGGUAAUGGGACAUGAAUUAGGACAAAAUGGCUCUUUUAAAAGCCCCAGCUCGUUCUGUUGCUAUGGCCAAUUUGAUUCAGGAAUCAGUCAAGUGGCAGAUGUUUCAUGUAGGAUCGUCGGUGUAGGUGCAACACACUGCUUAAGCACGGCUUCACAUGGCUUUUAACAAGCCAAUGAGAGAGGAGGGUGUUGAGGAGGAACAUCUGGGAUAAGAGGUAAAGAAUAUUGUUGCUAAUUCCAAAACACUACAAUGAGUGAUAUAUUGAAGUACCACAGGUGGGGAAGAGUGCAGGUGGGCAGGCAGACUAGGAGUUGGUUUCAUAAAAAGACAUUGGUGAUCCGGAAUUGUAGAUAGCAUUAAUGCAUUCCCUCAGAAAAGUAUUGGCCUUUUUUAUGUACAGUAUGUGUACUAAAUAAAGUGAAUCAUUU
rnacentral:lncRNA from 13 species